AGGAGCCGUCCCUCAUGGGAAGGGUUAACCGACCAGGACGCAAACCCCCACCACUCCCCUUCUAGAGGUAAAAACGAAGCUGGAUCCCCUGCUGUUGAAAUGUAAGCCAAGUUUAUGCGUAAGGACACCCCAAGCAAGCUCGGCCUGUCUCGGCCGGCAGAAGCGAUGGUGCGGAGGGACGCGCAGGAGCGGCGGCUGCGCUCAGAUGUCAUCGCAGCGUCAGCCCUCGAGUCCGCCCGGUCCCUCCUGUGAGACGUUUCAACCCUUCUCACAGGCUGCAUGCAGUCCACAGCUCUGAGAAGCCUAUUACGCCUUUCUGCGUCAGAUUGAUUUAAAUAUUAAUUGUAUGUGACCUGUUGACUUCAGCUCAUGCAGAAUCCACCCUGCAAUUAGUUUACUUAACCACUCUGUCUCCUGCAAUAGCUGUCAAGAAUAAUGGAUUGACCCUGAAUUUGAUCCUGAACAGAGAAACUUCACACUGGAACAAGUUUAUUAUUUCAUGUGCUUUUCAGAGUUCUUGAACUCGAUGUUAAGAUCUAAUCAAUUGAACAUCUGGGUUUCCUGGAGGCUGAGGCAGGAUCAUACAAUAUUUACAUCAAUAUUCUGAGAUCAAAGACGGCUACGAGUCCUGGAAAAAACCUCCAUGCAGAGGGAUAAAACGGAGCCGAGGAAAUCAGAGCUGAAAUCCGAGUCCUGCCCUGGCUUGGCCAGACAGAGCCUGGCGAGGGGAGGGCACGAAGGUCCCUGGGUGCCGCGGGGGACCACUGGCAUCAUCAAAAGGGCACGAGGGAGGCAGCGGUAUUUCCUUUCUUCAAAAAGAGCAGCUUCUCCUUUCCAGACGCCCCUGGAUGGAUUUCUGGUUUCUCACCAAAGCGGGGCGUCUCCACGCAGAGCUGUGCAGGGAUGGGACACCAGGACAGUGGCACCAGCUUCCCCCGUGUCGCCUUUUCGCCCGUGCCCUCCGUGUCCCGCAGGCAGGCGGAGCCGGCGUGGGCACAGCUCGGGGCCGGCACAAAGGCCACGGUAAGGAGGCAGGAGAAUUGUAAGUAGUUUAAAAACAUAAUUAAGACUUUGGACAACUUUCUUAUUACAGGUGGGAAUUCACAUUGAUAACGUUCUUCCUGGGCUGUUCUCAUGUGAAAGGAAUUGCUGUAGAAAAGCAGCUGAACAGCAUAUUAAAACAAAAUCCAUUCUCAUCAUCCCCUUUCACAUCCCAUCUCCCUUCUCAGGGCACUCCCUCCCCUCCCUUCACCUAUCAACAAACAAACAGCUUGGCACUAAUUACGUAGGACAAACAUUAAAUUCAGGAGCUGCGAUACCGGCGAGAUGGAUGGGCGGGAUGUUCGGCUGCACCUCGGCGUUGUGUCCCACCGCACGGGGCAGACACAGUCUGGGCUGAUUUACUCUAGAUUUGAGCUGGGAGUAAAUUGGAAGACAUGAAUCAUCUUGACGCAGAUGCUCCAGAGAUGGAUUACCUGGCUUGGUAGCCUGUUCUUCUCUUUCCACGGGCUUGCUUCCUUCUCUCCUUUCAGUGAAAAGUUUUGUUUCCCAGACACAGGAGGGUUUCUGCUCCGUGCCUGUGCUCCGGCAGGCCUGGGAGCCCCAGAGCCAGCAGGUACCUGUGCCCCCGGGCCAGCGAGCAGGCUGGCUGGGAGCUGGUGUCCCCUCCAAACCCCGGCCGGGGGCUCCCCCCUCUCAUCUGGCUCUGCCACACUGUCAGUCAUAAAUAGCUUUGGGCUGAAAUAGUGCUGCGGCUCUCACAUAAGAGGGUGUAAAGCGCUCAUGACGUCUUUCUGCCCAGGCAGAUCUGUGGGAUCAGCCAACCGCUGCUCAGCCCAUCCCUUCCCGAGUUCUUCCUCCUAGGAAUCGCAUCUCCUUUCAAGACACAGAGCUGAGAGCCACUACAGGCAAGGAGCAGGCUGCUGCCCCUCAUUAACAUGUGACUUUUGCCUUCUCCAUCGGUUGCUCUGUGGAAACCAGAGCUGGAAGCACAGUAAAUAAUGCUGCUCCAUAUUUUAUUCACCAGGCAGAGGGACUCUCUCCCACUGUGAUCUCUGCUGCUCUGGCAAAGGGCAGCACACCUGAGAUAAAUGCUUGACUCACUCACUUGAGUGAUGCUGUAAGGCAGGACUGACAGCCCCUGCUCUGGCCCAGCACGGCUGAAUCAGUGGCUAAAUACAUCCAGACACCUUGCCACCUUAAAGAAUUCAGCACUUCACCCCACAAAUAAUGUGCAAAACAGGCAAAUAAGCCCCAUCCCCAUUUUGCAGUGAUUGCAGCAAUCAGAGGCCAACUCAGACUUGCUCCCAGGGGCUGUAAAUCUUGAACUCUGCAGGCACAGCCCACAGGCUGAUAACGAGUGAUUAGCCUUAAUUCUCCCCUCUUCCUCUCUUUUAAGAGGGUUCAUCUGGAGCCCCCCCCGGGGCAUUACUAACCGCACCGCUGAUCACAGCCAAGCGGGAGCUGUGCAGCUGCUGGGGCAGUGCCUGGGGUGGGUGGCAGCAUUGCUGCCCUCCUGCUCAGCCACCUUCUUCCUCUCCACCCUUGGUUCCUUUUUGUCUCCAGCUUAACUUCUGUUGGAACUGAUUCUUUUUUCUUGGUGGGAGGGGGUUUGGGAGCAGAGGGAUACCUGGGGAAGGAAGCAGCACCUUCCUGGCGGGUGUCCAGGGGAGCCCUGCACACUGCCAGCCUGGGGCAGGUACGUUUGGGGAACCAGCCUCUCCCGCUGCUCGCAGCAGCCGAGCCCUGACUUAGGACGUCCUCCGCUCUCCCCUGAAACUGGUGUGCCUAGGUGUUGUCUUUGCCAUUCCCAGUGUUUCCACUUGGUCUAUGGGGGCUCUGAAGCCUGUCUGAGGAGCAUGAGGUAAGAUGCAGAUUUGUUUGCAUCUCUUUUUUUAAGAGGUGGUGAAUUUUCAAGAGCAGCCUUGCUUCCUCUCCUCCUCUCUGUGACUUUCUCUAGCUCCCUUUGAACAAAUCAUUUCUUUUGCAGAGUCCUGUUGUUUAAUUUUGCCAAGUCCUGAGUCUCAACCUCCUGUUAAUUGGUUUUGCCCAUCUUUGUGCAUUCCGUUAAAUGAGAAAAUGCCACACAUAAAAUUUUAAUUUUGAAAGCUGCCUUGUUUGUUUUAUAUUGAAAUUACCCACGCCGCUCCGGCCUGCAGAAAGAGACGCUUUCUCAUUUCAUUAAAAACUCUUUGUGAUGAUAAAAAGCGUCAGAAAUGAGAUAAAAAGUGGUGUUUCCUUAAAGGCACAUGAAAGUGAGAGAGAUAAAUCCUGUGUAUUGUAGGGGAUCAAAUCCAGCGUGCAGCUGUGGAGCGGCGAUACGGGCAGGCGGUGGGGCCGGCGGCGCGGCUCUGCCUCCUCUCCCAGGAUGGUUUGGCCUCCACCACCCACCCGCUGCUUCCAUCUGGGG